GGUUAAGCGACUAAGCGUACACGGUGGAUGCCCUGGCAGUCAGAGGCGAUGAAGGACGUGCUAAUCUGCGAAAAGCGUCGGUAAGGUGAUAUGAACCGUUACAGCCGGCGAUGUCCGAAUGGGGAAACCCAGUGCAAUUCGUUGCACUAUCGUUAACUGAAUACAUAGGUUAACGAGGCGAACCGGGGGAACUGAAACAUCUAAGUACCCCGAGGAAAAGAAAUCAACCGAGAUUCCCCCAGUAGCGGCGAGCGAACGGGGAGCAGCCCAGAGUCUGAAUCAGCUUGUGUGUUAGUGGAACGGUCUGGAAAGUCCGACGGUACAGGGUGAUAGUCCCGUACACCAAAAUGCACAGGCUGUGAACUCGAAGAGUAGGGCGGGACACGUGGUAUCCUGUCUGAAUAUGGGGGGACCAUCCUCCAAGGCUAAAUACUCCUGACUGACCGAUAGUGAACCAGUACCGUGAGGGAAAGGCGAAAAGAACCCCGGCGAGGGGAGUGAAAAAGAACCUGAAACCGUGUACGUACAAGCAGUGGGAGCACCUUCGGGUGUGACUGCGUACCUUUUGUAUAAUGGGUCAGCGACUUAUAUUCUGUAGCAAGGUUAACCGUAUAGGGGAGCCGCAGGGAAACCGAGUCUUAACUGGGCGUUAAGUUGCAGGGUAUAGACCCGAAACCCGGUGAUCUAGCCAUGGGCAGGUUGAAGGUUGGGUAACACUAACUGGAGGACCGAACCGACUAAUGUUGAAAAAUUAGCGGAUGACUUGUGGCUGGGGGUGAAAGGCCAAUCAAACCGGGAGAUAGCUGGUUCUCCCCGAAAGCUAUUUAGGUAGCGCCUCGUGAAUUCAUCUUCGGGGGUAGAGCACUGUUUCGGCUAGGGGGUCAUCCCGACUUACCAACCCGAUGCAAACUACGAAUACCGAAGAAUGUUAUCACGGGAGACACACGGCGGGUGCUAACGUCCGUCGUGAAGAGGGAAACAACCCAGACCGCCAGCUAAGGUCCCAAAGUCAUGGUUAAGUGGGAAACGAUGUGGGAAGGCACAGACAGCCAGGAUGUUGGCUUAGAAGCAGCCAUCAUUUAAAGAAAGCGUAAUAGCUCACUGGUCGAGUCGGCCUGCGCGGAAGAUGUAACGGGGCUAAACCAUGCACCGAAGCUGCGGCAGCGACACUAUGUGUUGUUGGGUAGGGGAGCGUUCUGUAAGCCUGCGAAGGUGACCUGUGAGGGUUGCUGGAGGUAUCAGAAGUGCGAAUGCUGACAUAAGUAACGAUAAAGCGGGUGAAAAGCCCGCUCGCCGGAAGACCAAGGGUUCCUGUCCAACGUUAAUCGGGGCAGGGUGAGUCGACCCCUAAGGCGAGGCCGAAAGGCGUAGUCGAUGGGAAACAGGUUAAUAUUCCUGUACUUGGUGUUACUGCGAAGGGGGGACGGAGAAGGCUAUGUUAGCCGGGCGACGGUUGUCCCGGUUUAAGCAUGUAGGCUGGUUAUCCAGGCAAAUCCGGAUAAUCAAGGCUGAGGUGUGAUGACGAGGCACUACGGUGCUGAAGUAACAAAUGCCCUGCUUCCAGGAAAAGCCUCUAAGCAUCAGGUAACAUCAAAUCGUACCCCAAACCGACACAGGUGGUCAGGUAGAGAAUACCAAGGCGCUUGAGAGAACUCGGGUGAAGGAACUAGGCAAAAUGGUGCCGUAACUUCGGGAGAAGGCACGCUGGUGUGUAGGUGAAGUCCCUGCGGAUGGAGCUGAGACCAGUCGAAGAUACCAGCUGGCUGCAACUGUUUAUUAAAAACACAGCACUGUGCAAACACGAAAGUGGACGUAUACGGUGUGACGCCUGCCCGGUGCCGGAAGGUUAAUUGAUGGGGUUAUCCGUAAGGAGAAGCUCUUGAUCGAAGCCCCGGUAAACGGCGGCCGUAACUAUAACGGUCCUAAGGUAGCGAAAUUCCUUGUCGGGUAAGUUCCGACCUGCACGAAUGGCGUAAUGAUGGCCAGGCUGUCUCCACCCGAGACUCAGUGAAAUUGAACUCGCUGUGAAGAUGCAGUGUACCCGCGGCAAGACGGAAAGACCCCGUGAACCUUUACUAUAGCUUGACACUGAACAUUGAGCCUUGAUGUGUAGGAUAGGUGGGAGGCUUUGAAGCGUGGACGCCAGUCUGCGUGGAGCCAACCUUGAAAUACCACCCUUUAAUGUUUGAUGUUCUAACGUUGGCCCCUGACCGGGGUUGCGGACAGUGUCUGGUGGGUAGUUUGACUGGGGCGGUCUCCUCCCAAAGCGUAACGGAGGAGCACGAAGGUUAGCUAAUCCUGGUCGGACAUCAGGAGGUUAGUGCAAUGGCAUAAGCUAGCUUGACUGCGAGCGUGACGGCGCGAGCAGGUGCGAAAGCAGGUCAUAGUGAUCCGGUGGUUCUGAAUGGAAGGGCCAUCGCUCAACGGAUAAAAGGUACUCCGGGGAUAACAGGCUGAUACCGCCCAAGAGUUCAUAUCGACGGCGGUGUUUGGCACCUCGAUGUCGGCUCAUCACAUCCUGGGGCUGAAGUAGGUCCCAAGGGUAUGGCUGUUCGCCAUUUAAAGUGGUACGCGAGCUGGGUUUAGAACGUCGUGAGACAGUUCGGUCCCUAUCUGCCGUGGGCGCUGGAGAAUUGAGGGGGGCUGCUCCUAGUACGAGAGGACCGGAGUGGACGCAUCACUGGUGUUCGGGUUGUCAUGCCAAUGGCACUGCCCGGUAGCUAAAUGCGGAAGAGAUAAGUGCUGAAAGCAUCUAAGCACGAAACUUGCCCCGAGAUGAGUUCUCCCUGAGACUUUAAGUCUCCUGAAGGAACGUUGAAGACGACGACGUUGAUAGGCCGGGUGUGUAAGCGCAGCGAUGCGUUGAGCUAACCGGUACUAAUGAACCGUGAGGCUUAACCUU
rnacentral:rRNA from 2 species